rnacentral:rRNA from 1 species
AAUGGGGGCAACCCUGAUCCAGCCAUUCCGCGUGAGUGAAGAAGGCCUUCGGGUUGUAAAGCUCUUUCGGCAGGAACGAAACGGCGGGCUCUAACAUAGCCUGUCACUGACGGUACCUGAAGAAGAAGCACCGGCUAACUACGUGCCAGCAGCCGCGGUAAUACGUAGGGUGCGAGCGUUAAUCGGAAUUACUGGGCGUAAAGCGUGCGCAGGCGGUUCCAUAAGACAGAUGUGAAAUCCCCGGGCUUAACCUGGGAACUGCGUUUGUGACUGUGGGACUCGAGUGUGGCAGAGGGGGGUGGAAUUCCACGUGUAGCAGUGAAAUGCGUAGAGAUGUGGAGGAACACCGAUGGCGAAGGCAGCCCCCUGGGUCAACACUGACGCUCAUGCACGAAAGCGUGGGGAGCAAA